GCCGGAAUAGCUCAGUUGGUAGAGCAACUGAUUCGUAAUCAGUAGGUCCGCGGUUCGAGUCCGCGUUCCGGCACCA
rnacentral:tRNA from 1 species